CAGGAUAUUGGCACGGACGCCUCACCAUCAUUGGCUCGGCUUACCAUCUGCCAGCUUUCCAAACACGACUGAUCGUGUUUGCCAUUCGAGUGCCAGCAUCGGAAUCGACAACAUCGAUUCCUUUUUAGCAUUCUGAUUUCAUGCCCUUUCCCCUCAUUAGAUUUCGUUUUGAUGAUGUUCUAGCAUUUAUUUCGAUGAAAUAAAAGCGAUCUUUCGAGGAGUUGUGGUUUCGUUGUGUUUUCUCUAUGCAGCGUGAGCGCUUCUCCGAGAUGGUGGAGAUGCCUUAAGAUCCCUGUCAUUCCCGUAGUUUUGUUGACAUUCUGCACUCGAUAACGGCGUUACAUUGAACACGCCGUGACACGGAAGUUUCCUCUCUUUGGUGGAGACCUUGGCUUACCAGCGAUAACCCAGCAACACCAGAAGAAGAACCCUACUUCAGAAGCAAGGAGCGUCGCUGGUUCGGAAGGCACGCGGCCGCCAGCAAGGAGAAGAACCGCGGACAACGUAUCGAAGUGAUAUUUCCGCAAUGGACCGCGAUCAGCGACCGAACCGACCGGUUGGCCGAGGUAAUCCUCGUUUCUUCGCCCCACCCGUAGCGGGAAAUCAGGCAUAUCGUCCGAUGCAGCGAUUUGCUGCCCCGAAUGUUCAGAACGUUCAAAACGCCGGGGCCUCGGCAUCCCGUCCCGUGGCAUGUCAGAGUGUUGUGCAUAGUGCACAGGAUAUUGGCACGGACGCCUCACCAUCAUUGGCUCGGCUUACCAUCUGCCAGCUUUCCAAACACGACUGAUCGUGUUUGCCAUUCGGGGGCCAGCAUCGGAAUCGACAACAUCGAUUCCUUUUUAGCAUUCUGAUUUCAUGCCCUUUCCCCUCAUUAGAUUUCGUUUUGAUGAUGUUCUAGCAUUUAUUUCGAUGAAAUAAAAGCGAUCUUUCGAGGAGUUGUGGUUUCGUUGUGUUUUCUCUAUGCAGCGUGAGCGCU